CUCGUGCUGUUCGGACGUGUUUAUUUUUAAACUUCUUUCUCCGUGUCCGCUAUAGGGCAUCGCGAUAAAAAGUGUCUCUUGUAACUUGUGAGUGGGUCGAAAGAAAGUUUCUACGAGAAACUUAUCAGGGAAGGCCUCACCGGAAAAGGGUUAUUUGAGUGACUCGGCACUGUCCCAGGGAACGAGAAGGAUCAGCCCGGCGCCGUCGUUUUCCCGUUGCGGAUCGGAAGACAGAGCGGUGAGUGUGAGAUCAAACACAAGCAUAAUUUCAUUUAUCGCGGGUUCGGAGCCGCAACUUAACCUAGCCCCGGCCUCGCCGGUGCGUACGCCGGCGUCAGUGGAAUCGGAGAUGAUUCGUAGUCGAAGCAACUCGGGCGGUUCAGACGUGCGUACAAAAGUGCCUCGAUUAAUCAACGUAUCGGCCGAAAGGCAAGCCGGUUUCAGUGACGCGAGCAACUAUUGCAUUCCUGAGACAGAUGUUUCUAGCCGAUCCGAGCGUAUCGACCUUCAUUUAAGGAGGUUCGAUACCGAAAUGAAAAUGGUUAGAAUGUUUUGAAAACAAUUUUAAUCUCAUAAUGAAUGCGUGAAAGACCUCUUAGCAUAAUUUCAGAACGAUUGACAAUAUAGUUUUUCUGAAAAAUGAUAUAAAAAUUACGUUUCUUAUACAUAGGCUCUAAUGGAAGACAUGCAGAAACUUUCAAUCAUAUUUGAAUAUUGCUGUUAAAAAAGGUUAGAGUCCGGAAUAUGAAGUUGUAAUUAAGAAAUUAAAUAUUACUAAACGUUUUAAAACAAGAAAAAUGUACACUUACAAUGUAAUUAUUGAGAUAAUGAAAUAAAUAGGCAUCAUUUUGACGAUUUUUAACAGACAUCUGAUUCUGUGAUAUGAAAUAUGGCAACGCUGUACGUUGUAUUCAACACUCCGACUAGCGGGCCGUUUGAAUAACUUGAUUCAAUAAUAUGUAGGAAAUAAAUUUGUUAUAAUGUAA